rnacentral:rRNA from 1 species
UGAGCAACCUACCCCUGACACUGGAAUAACAGCUGGAAACAGCUGCUAAUACCGGAUACGACCUUCGAUGGCAUCAUCUGGAGGUGGAAAGCUCCGACGGUCAAGGAUGGGCUCGCGGCCUAUCAGCUUGUUGGUGGGGUAGUGGCCUACCAAGGCGACGACGGGUAGCCGGCCUGAGAGGGUGACCGGCCACACUGGGACUGAGACACGGCCCAGACUCCUACGGGAGCAG